rnacentral:rRNA from 1 species
AUUGAACGCUGGCGGCAUGCUUUACACAUGCAAGUCGAACGGCAGCGCGGGCUUCGUCCUGUCGGCGAGUGGCGAACGGGUGAGUAAUGCAUCGGAACGUGCCCAGUAGUUGGGGAUAGCCCGGCGAAAGCCGGAUUAAUACCGCAUACGACCUGAGGGUGAAAGCGGGGGGCCGAAAGGCCUCGCGCUAUUGGCGCGGCCGAUGUCGGAUUAGCUAGUUGGUGGGGUAAAGGCUUACCAAGGCGACGAUCCGUAGCUGGUCUGAGAGGACGACCAGCCACACUGGGACUGAGACACGGCCCAGACUCCUACGGGAGGCAGCAGUGGGGAAUUUUGGACAAUGGGGGCAACCCUGAUCCAGCCAUGCCGCGUGCGGGAAGAAGGCCUUCGGGUUGUAAACCGCUUUUGUUCGGGAAGAAAUCCUCUGGGCUAAUACCCCGGGGGGAUGACGGUACCGGAAGAAUAAGCACCGGCUAACUACGUG